rnacentral:rRNA from 1 species
UACGAGGGGUGCAAGCGUUGCUCGGACUCACUGCCCGUAAAGGGUGCGUAGGCGGGUCUUUAAGUCAGGGGGGAAAUCCUGGAGCUCAACUCCAGAACUGCCUUUGAUACUGAAGAUCUUGAGUCCGGGAGAGGUGAGUGGAACUGCGAGUGUAGAGGUGAAAUUCGUAGAUAUUCGCAAGAACACCAGUGGCGAAGGCGGCUCACUGGUCCGGUACUGACGCUGAGGUGCGAAAGCGUGGGGAGCAAACAGG